UUAUCAGAGACGGGCAUGAUCCGCAUGUAAAGUACCAGCGGCCAAAAGUACGUACAACUACGCUUACGCUUUCAUAACUGUCCCGUUGGCUUGUCUUGAGAAUUUGUUUUACAGUGUAGAUGGUUCUAGUGUUCCAGAUACUACCACAAAAAUCAAGACAAAAAUGCACAUUCCGAGAGAGAGACAGACAGACAGACAGACAGAGAUGAGAGAGAGAGAGAGAGAGAGAGAGAGAGAGAUCAGAGAUUUUCGUUUUCGUUUCCAAAAUGUUAUUACGAGGCAUGGCUGGUUCUGGUUGAGUUGAAAACUCAAGAAGCCAUGACAGCUACCAUGGACAAGCAGAUCAUGCUGGCAGCUUCAACCUCUCAAACCAACAAACCGGACAAGUGAGAUCCAAGAACCAGAAGGAUGAAUAGCAUCUGGACUUUGUUGGAAACCACCUGUAAGGAACACUGGAAGAACCAAGAAGCUUAACUCUCCCAUAAUUAAUAUCGCCAAAAGGAGGCACGAGAUAUGCAUGCUUUAGGGGCGCUUCUCGUGACUCAAACCUAGAUCAUCUCCAUCUAUAUAUAAAUAUAUGCUUUUGUUAUGCA